UAUAGUUGGAUCCUGGCUCAGGAUGAACGCUAGCUACAGGCUUAACACAUGCAAGUCGAGGGGCAGCAUGGUCUUAGCUUGCUAAGACUGAUGGCGACCGGCGCACGGUGAGUAACACGUAUCCAACUGCGUCUACUCUGGACAGCUUCUGAAAGGAAGAUUAAUACAAGAUGGCAUCAUGAGUCCGCAUGUUCACAUGAUUAAAGGUAUUCCGGUAGACGAUGGGGAUGCGUUCCAUUAGAUAGUAGGCGGGGUAACGGCCCACCUAGUCUUCGAUGGAUAGGGGUUCUGAGAGGAAGGUCCCCCACAUUGGAACUGAGACACGGUCCAAACUCCUACGGGAGGCAGCAGUGAGGAAUAUUGGUCAAUGGGCGAGAGCCUGAACCAGCCAAGUAGCGUGAAGGAUGACUGCCCUAUGGGUUGUAAACUUCUUUUAUAAAGGAAUAAAGUCGGGUAUGGAUACCCGUUUGCAUGUACUUUAUGAAUAAGGAUCGGCUAACUCCGUGCCAGCAGCCGCGGUAAUACGGAGGAUCCGAGCGUUAUCCGGAUUUAUUGGGUUUAAAGGGAGCGUAGAUGGAUGUUUAAGUCAGUUGUGAAAGUUUGCGGCUCAACCGUAAAAUUGCAGUUGAUACUGGAUAUCUUGAGUGCAGUUGAGGCAGGCGGAAUUCGUGGUGUAGCGGUGAAAUGCUUAGAUAUCACGAAGAACUCCGAUUGCGAAGGCAGCCUGCUAAGCUGCAACUGACAUUGAGGCUCGAAAGUGUGGGUAUCAAACAGGAUUAGAUACCCUGGUAGUCCACACGGUAAACGAUGAAUACUCGCUGUUUGCGAUAUACGGCAAGCGGCCAAGCGAAAGCGUUAAGUAUUCCACCUGGGGAGUACGCCGGCAACGGUG
rnacentral:rRNA from 1 species